UUCAGUUGUAGAUACAUACUCAUAUCUAUAUACAUAUACCCCGCAUAAAAUAUCUUAUUCAAAAAUAAUGUUUUGCAUUUACGAGAUUUUAUCGUGAAUUCUGCUUUGCAAAAAUCUCGGAUUGGAUCGUGGCCAAUACUUUUUAGUGCGAUAUUGAGAAUAGAACCAUGAAAUUUUGUAUGCCUCUGAAUCCGAUAACAAUUUGCAGAAGAAGUGAAUCUUUUUUAACGCAAAGACUAGCAUUCAUUUGAAUGCUUCUUAUUGCGAUUGAAUGCGAAAAAUGUUUAUAGUCAAGUAAAUUCUUUUGAAUGCAAAAGUUAUUAUUUGAAAUAAAUUGAAUCCUUAUUCAAGCAGAAUUCGGAAGGUAUUCAAUUUAAUAUCUUCUGAAUUCUGUUGAAUUCUGCUUUUUGCAAAAUGUUAUGAAAAAACACUUUUUUCAAAAUUUUCCAACAAUUUUUAAAAAGCGCACAUUUUUAAGAUGUAAACUUUGAUUCUAAUAUCAAUUUUAGAAGAUAAUCUAAAAGGUUUCAUUUAAAUUCAUGCUGUUUUUAAUUAUUCUGUAGUAAUUUAUAUUUUCUGUCUAAAGAUACUCCACUAAAUAAUGAUAAAUAUCCUUUUUCAUUUCACCCUUCGAACAUUGUUCCAAGUAUAUUAAGGUUAUCAUAAGUAAAAUUACCUAAAUGUUUGCUUUCAUUCUGCGAACCUAUGGAAAUAGCUCAAAACGAAACGAUGUUCAAAUCUCCAAUUUUAAUAAAAUUCUAUGAAUGAGUAGUAUUUCAUAUAAAAUUUAUAUAAUGUAAUGAGGUCAAAUAAAUAGAUGUUUUCGAGAAAAAAAUUGAAAUGGAGUUAAAGUUUUGCGAGGCUAACGUAAAGACUAUGAAUAUGAUGAAAAUCGAACCGAGCACAAUAAUGAGUAAAAUGCUUGCGUGCGGAAUGCUGAAUCUGUAGUUAAUUUCCUGCGGCACAUAGUAUUUUUUGUGGUUUAAUUUUUUAAUUAAUUAAAAGAGAAAAGGAGUUGUAAACAAUUAUCUUAUUUAAAUGAUUUAGUAAAUAUUUAUGAUAUAAUUCGUGAUGAUAUAAAUGGCUACAGCUCUAAGAUAAAAAGAGAUAGAAAUAUGUUCUAAGUGCGUCGCGUAAUGUUCCGCGGCUGCGCACCAAUAACCACCAUCUUAGUUGGGCUAGUGGCAGCCUGUGUGUGCAUAUAUAUUCAAAUAUGUUAUAUUAUAUUAAUACAUAUAAUACAAAAGUUCCUCUUUCGCUUCUGCAACUAUUUCUUCGGAUCCUUCCAAGACGAUUCUCGUAAAAGUACAAUGGCGUGCAUCCUUUCAAGCGAGAAAUUAUUGCGUCUGUAGCUGGCUUGAAGUACUUCGGGGAACCAGUUAAUGCUCAAAAACGGUUUAAAGAUAUAAAACCACUUGUGACAACGCAGGAUGGCCAGCGCCCGACACUACGCCACCCCAGGCAGCAGAGCGUACGAAAAACAAAGCGCCUGAGUUAGAAUAUCCACAGCAAAGAAUGUUAGAAAACUGGAGAUGCGCGCCAACGCCCGCGAGAGGCCCGACAUUCUUUAAAGUGAAAUUUUACUUACAAGAGAAGUGCAUCAAGUGUUAAUCGCGAAUGGAUAUGUUAUAUAUCGUUCGAAAGGUCUUGUCAAGUAGAAUUUAUGUAUGCAACAUUUCGCUUGAAUGGCGUCUUUAGAAGGCGCUAUGCGCAAUAUAAGUUAUAGAGCUAGUUUAGCUCCCUCACGCCGAAACUGCGUUUCGACCGCCAGCAACAUCUUUCUCUCUUUAUUUUUAUUAACAAUAAGAUAAAAUAAAAAGUGCAAUUUAUGUUAUAUUAAAGUAUCUUGUUAGUAAUAACUUUUUGACUUUUUUGUUUUUUUACUUUCAAAACUCUAAUAUUAGUUUCUUGGUUUUCUUUUUUUCUUUAUUUUUGUUUUUAAAAUAAAAUAAGUGCAAUUUAUGUUAUAUUAAAGUAUCUUAUUGUCAAUAACUUUUUGGUCUUUUUGUACUUUUAAAAUAAAAUAGAAAAUGCAAUUUAUCUUGAAUUAAAUAAAAUAUCCUAAAUAAAACUUGUGCAACUAAUUAUACUAGUAGAGACACCUUUUAUUUAAUGCUAUUUUUAAAGCAGAAACUCUAAUUAACUUUUAUAGAAACCCAAAUAGUUAUGUAAUUACAUUACGCAUAGCGUCCUCUAAAGGCACCAUUCAAGCGAAAUAUUGCAUACAUAAAUUCUACUUGACAAGAUUUAUCGAACGAUAUAUAACCCACAUCCAUUCGUGAUUAAUACUUGGUGCCUUGAGUAGAGGUGCGUAAAAGUACAGUACGUAUUUUGUUGAGAAUAACCAUGUCAGUUAAGUCGUAAUUUAUGGUAAAAAUGCCAUCCUCAAGGUCAUUGAGGAUGGGAACCCAUCCUCAAUGACCUUGACCUUAACAUAUGUUGUCAAGAUCAUGACCCUGAGUAAUGUAUAAAAGGUUUUAGCCGUCGCUCAUUGUUCUGCGAACAUAAACGUAACCAGCAAGGUCUACCCUAUUUCACUAAAGUUUCAACAAUACGAUGAUAUCAGUGCUUUACGUAAAGUAAACGACGUCCACGCUUGUACAGUACCACAUGAGUUUGCGACUUUCCACGCCAAACAAGAUCCACGCUAUUCGUUUCCAAUGUUUUCGCAACCAAAUAACGACAUAAAAUUGGUUGUGUUAAAGUUACGAAAAAUUACAAGGGCAUGUAGGGGAAGGGGCGGAGCCCCUUCCCUACCCACGAGUUCUCUAUGCUAUGUAACGACUUUUCAAAUUUUAUUCCAUAUUAAUAAAAAAAUAAUGGUACAUUAAAAAA